rnacentral:rRNA from 1 species
AGCUCUCCGAGUGGUGUGGAUGUUUAUUGGGCCUAAAGCAUCCGUAGCUGGCCAAGUUAGUCCCUUGUUAAACCCACCGAAUUAAUCGUUGGCGUGCGGGGGAUACUGCUCGGCUAGGGGACGAGAGAGGCAGACGGUAUUCUCGGGGUAGGGGUGAAAUCCUAUAAUCCCGAGAAGACCACCAGUGGCGAAGGCUGUCUGCUAGAACGCGCCCGACGGUGAGGGAUGAAAGCUGGGGGAGCGAACC